rnacentral:rRNA from 1 species
AUUGAACGCUGGCGGCAGGCCUAACACAUGCAAGUCGAACGAGCGGCGGACGGGUGAGUAAUGUAUGGGGAUCUGCCCGAUCGAGGGGGAUAACUACUGGAAACGGUGGCUAAUACCGCAUACUAUCAGAUGAGCCCAGAUGGGAGUAGCUAGUCGGUGGGGUAAAGGCUCACCAAGGCGACGAUCGAUAGCUGGUCUGAGAGGAUGAUCGGCAACACUGGGACUGAGAAACGGCCCAGACUCCUACGGGAGGCAGCAGUGGGGAAUAUUGUACAAUGGGCGCAAGCCUGAUGCAGCCAUGCCGCGUGUAUGAAGAAGGCCUGCGGGUUGUAAAGUACUUUCAGCAGGGAGGCGUUACCCGCAGAAGAAGCACCGGCUAACUCCGUGCCAGCAGCCGCGGUAAUAC